rnacentral:rRNA from 1 species
AGAGACAGCAGUCGCCGCGGGAAUACGGAGGAUCCAAGCGUUAUCCGGAAUCAUUGGGUUUAAAGGGUCCGUAGGCGGUCUUGUAAGUCAGUGGUGAAAGCCCAUCGCUCAACGGUGGAACGGCCAUUGAUACUGCAGGACUUGAAUUAUUGGGAAGUAACUAGAAUAUGUAGUGUAGCGGUGAAAUGCUUAGAGAUUACAUGGAAUACCAAUUGCGAAGGCAGGUUACUACCAAUUGAUUGACGCUGAUGGACGAAAGCGUGGGUAGCGAACAGGAUUAGAUACCCCGGUAGUCCCUGUCUCUUAUAC